rnacentral:rRNA from 1 species
GGAGGCAGCAGUGGGGAAUAUUGCACAAUGGGCGCAAGCCUGAUGCAGCCAUGCCGCGUGUAUGAAGAAGGCCUUCGGGUUGUAAAGUACUUUCAGCGGGGAGGAAGGUGUUGAGGUUAAUAACCUCAGCAAUUGACGUUACCCGCAGAAGAAGCACCGGCUAACUCCGUGCCAGCAGCCGCGGUAAUACGGAGGGUGCAAGCGUUAAUCGGAAUUACUGGGCGUAAAGCGCACGCAGGCGGUCUGUCAAGUCGG